AAAAAACAACUAGUAAUGAGAUCACCAUGUUGCAGUUAGAAGAUGGCACAUGCUUUCCAUUUAACACCUACUUUUGCAAUGUUGAAAACUAACGAGAUCAUCAUUUUGCAGCUUAGCAGAUGGCAUGUGAGGAAGGGGGUGUGUUUGAGCAUAUCAGAUAUCAGUGUCGAAAGAAUUCUUUAGGAGAUUAAAUUAAUUAAUGCUAACUGAUUCCCUUUCUCUCAGGAAAGUCAGUUUCAAACUCUGUUCAAAAUAAUGUACAAAAUAACAGCAGUGACAUCAGCUUCCCCCAGAGCCAGUGAUGCAGUCCAUAAGUGAAUCCUGACUUCUCAUCCGUAACCCAAUUUAUUCUCAAGUUCUUUUCUUCUUUUACCCAUUUCAAGAAUAAUAUGUGUAACAUUAACUAGUACCAAAUUUAUACCUCUUUAGCAAAUUUACUCUUUUUGUUGUCUAUUUAGAAGAUGUAGCCUGUAACAUUAGUUGGUUUUCAU
rnacentral:misc_RNA from 1 species